AGGGACUUUUGGGGGCAGCUGUG
rnacentral:miRNA from 1 species